UCUGCUCUGUGUGCCAUGGAGGCAUUGUCCCAGAUGUAGCAGUUGGUACAAAGCGGGGAUCUGACGAGCUUUUCUCUACUUGUGUCACCAAUGGACUGUUUAUCAUGAGCAGCAAAUCAGCUUCUGCAGCAAAUGGAAAUGACAGCAAGAAGUUCAAAGGUGAUAGCAAACGUGCCGGCAUCCCCUCCAGAGUGAUCUACAUUCAGAAGCUCCCCAUCGAUGUCACCAAAGCGGAGGUCAUCUCCCUGGGGCUGCCCUUCGGGAAGGUCACCAAUCUCCUGAUGUUGAAGGGGAAAAACCAGGCCUUCAUCGAGAUGAACACAGAGGAGGCUGCCAACACCAUGGUGAACUACUACACCUCCGUGACACCCGUGCUGUGCGGCCAGCCCAUCUACGUCCAGUUCUCCAACCACAAGGAGCUGAAGACUGACAGCUCUCCCAACCAGGCACGCGUCCAGGCGGCCCUGCAGGCCGUGAACUCGGUCCAGUCGGGGAACCUGGCUUUGGCUGCCUAGGCAGCGGCUGUGGACACAGGGAUGGUGAUGGCCGGGCAGAGCCCCGUGCUGAGGAUCAUCAUGGAGAACCUCUUCUACCAGGUGACCCUGGACGUGCUGCACCAUAUUUUCUCCAAGUUCGGCACGGUGUUGAAGAUCAUCACCUUCGCCAAGAACAACCAGUUCCAGGCCCUGCUGCAGUACGCGGACCCCGUGAGCGCCCAGCGCGCCAAGCUGUCUCUGGACGGGCAGAACAUCUACGCCUGCUGCACGCUGCGCAUUGACUUCUCCAAGCUCACCAGCCUCAACGUCAAGUACAACAACGACAAGAGCCGUGACUACACGCGCCCAGACCUGCCCUCCGGGGACAGCCAGCCCUCGCUGGACCAGACCAUGGCCACGGCCUUCGGCCUCUCUGUUCCCAACGUCCACGGAGCCCUGGCGCCCCUGGCCAUUCCCUCGGCAGCUGCGGCAGCUGCGGCGGCAGGCCGGAUAGCCAUUCCCGGCCUGGUUGGGGCAGGAAAUUCUGUGUUGCUGGUCAGCAACCUCAACCCAGAGAGAGUCACACCCCAAAGCCUCUUUAUUCUUUUCAGCGUCUACGGCGAUGUGCAGCGCAUAAAGAUCCUGUUCAAUAAGAAGGAGAAUGCCCUGGUGCAGAUGGCGGACGACAACCAGGCCCAGCUUGCCGUGAGCCACCUGAACUGGCACAAGCUGCACGGGAAGCCCAUCCGCAUCACACUCCCGAAGCAUCAGAACGUGCAGCUUCCCUGCGAGGGCCAGGAGGACCAGAGCCUGACCAAGGACUAUGGCAACUCGCCCCUGCACCGCUUCAAGAAGCCAGGCUUCAAGAACUGCCAGAACAUAUUCCCACCGUCGGCCACCCUGCACCUCUCCAACAUCCCGCCCUCAGUGUCCGAGGAAGAUCUCAAGGUCCUCUUCUCCAGCAAUGGGGGCGUCGUCAAAGGAUUCAAGUUCUUCCAGAAGGACCGCAAGAUGGCGCUGAUCCAGAUGGGCUCCGGCGAGGUGGCUGUCCAGGCCCUCAUUGACCUGCACAACCACGACCUCGGGGAGAGCCACCACCUGCGGGUCUCCUUCUCCAAGUCCACCAUCUAGGGGCACGAGCCCCUCCACGGCCGGGUCCCCUGGCGACAACUUCCAUCAUUCCAGAGAAAAGCCACUUUAAAAAGCAGCUGAAGUGACCUUAACAGACCAGAGAUUUUAUUUUUUUAAAGAGAAAUCAUUUUACCUGUUUCUUAAAAAAUUAAAUCUAGUUCACCUUGCUAACCUUGCGGUGACGGGUGACCGCUCAGGCUCUUGGUGACUGUGGCAGCAGGAGCUCCCGGCCCGCCGACCCGGGGCCAGACCCUCGGGCCGUGCCUUGGUGGGGCCUGUCGGACAUGGGGCCUACGGGUGGGCGCCCCAACCACGACUCGGCUUCCUUGUGCCUUAAAAAACCUGCCUUCAUACGGCCACGCACCCACCCUGGGUGUCCUGGGGACCCAAGGGGCAGGGGUCACACUUCAGAGAAAGGCAGGGGGCCCAGCAGGCUCCUGCAGGAUCAUGUGCCUGGGUGUGGCAGCCACGGCCUGCUACACCCCAACCCCCGCCCUCUAAUCAAGUGAUGUGAUUUUGCCCGCCCGCCCGCCCGCCCUGCCCCCAGGGCCUUCCCCUCUGCCCCCAGGCGCUGGCUGGCACCCCAGCUGCUUUCAGCUGCGGAGCUGUUCGUCAUAAUCUCUGUAUUAUGUACUUUGCAGUUGCAGACGUCUGUGACUAGCAAUAUUUCCAGUUGACCAAAUAUUCUAAUCCUUUUUUCAAUUAAAUGCAAAAGAAAUAGUUUUAAGUAACUUUUUAUAGCAAGAUGAUACAAUGGUAUGAGUGUAAUCUAAACUUUCUCGCGGUAUUACCUUGCAUGCUGUUUUGUUUUAUUCCUUGUCAUUAAGUCACAGGCGGGACCCAGUUUCCAGAGAGCAGGCGGGGCCGCCCGGAGGGUCAGUCACAGGGAGCCCUGGUCGGAUCUCAGCCCCGAGCUUCCGGGAAGGGGCGGGCGCGCCGCCGACCUCUGGCAUCGCCUCCGGUUGCCUUACACCACACCUUCACCUGCAAUCGCCUAGAAAACUUGCUCUCAAACUUCUUCAGGGGUUUUUUCCUUCAAAUUUUGGACCAAAGUCUCAUUUCUGUUUUUCGCCUGUCUCUGAUGCUGGGACCCGGAAGGCAGUCGUUGGUCUCGACUUCGCUGUGCUCUUCCCCCGCCUCUGCGCGGCCUGUCCCGGGGGCUCCUGGGAUCCCCUUUCCGUAAAGGAGAGUGUAACGAGGGUGUAAAUAUUUAUAAUUUUUUAUACCUGUUGUGAGACACGAGGGGCAGCGACGCGGAUUUUUAUGGAGACACAGAUGUAUAUUUUGCUAGCGCAAUUCCAGGCUCGGUACUGACCGCGGAGCUGCAGGGACCUCACGCACAUUCCAUUGCCGUCCCGAUGGCUCGCGAUGCUGAGAGAACCGAUUAAAAACCGUUUUAUAACCAACUC